rnacentral:rRNA from 1 species
CCGUUUUGAUUCAAAGACUAGCCCAACUAAUUUUCACAAUAAAAUUAUCUUAUUUUACUAAACUAAAACAUUCAUAGGACUAGUAUAGGAGAUAGAAAAUUUAACUUGGAGCUAUAGAGAUAGUACCGCAAGGGAAAGAAUUGAAAGAAAUAACUUAUAGAUAGGAAAAGCAAAGACUAAACCUUCUACCUUUUGCAUAAUGAGUUAGCUAGAUAAUGUUUGCACAGAGAACUAAAGUAAAAAAUCCCGAAUCCAAACGAGCUACUUAAAGGCAGCUAAACAUAUGAGCCAACUCGUCUAUGUAGCAAAAUAGUGAGAAGACCCUUAAGUAGAGGUGAAAAGCCAAACGAGUUUGGCGAUAGCUGGUUACUCAGUAAAGAAUUUUAGUUCAACUUUAAAUUUACCUGAAGAGUUAAAUCUAAAAUGUAAAUUUAAAAGCUAAUCUAAAGAGGUACAGCUCUUUAGAUAAAGGAUACAACCUUAAUUAGAGAAUAAAUCAUUUUUUCCUACCAUUGUAGGCCCAAAAGCAGCCAUCAAUAAAGAAAGCGUUAAAGCUCAACAAAAAUAACUAAAUACAAAAUUACAAUAAAACUUAAUUCCUAUAUGUAAACUGAGUUAUUCUACCGAUUGUAGAAGAAACAAUGCUAAUAUGAGUAACAAGAAAUAACUUUUCUCCUUGCACGAGCUUAUAUCCGAUCGAAUAAAUCACUGAUAGUUAACAACAAAAUAAUUAUAACCUAUUAAAUAAAUUUAAUUAUUCUAUUUAUUGUUAACCCAACACAGGAGUGCUUUAAGGAAAGACUAAAAGAAGUAAAAGGAACUCGGCAAACACAAGCCCCGCCUGUUUACCAAAAACAUCACCUCUAGCAUAUCUAAUAUUAGAGGCAAAGCCUGCCCAGUGACAUUAAUUGUUUAACGGCCGCGGUACCCUGACCGUGCAAAGGUAGCAUAAUCACUUGUUCUUUAAUUAAGGACUAGUAUGAAUGGCCUAACGAGGGCUUAACUGUCUCCUACUUCUGGUCAGUGAAAUUGACCUUCCCGUGAAGAGGCGGGGAUAACAAAAUAAGACGAGAAGACCCUAUGGAGCUUUAGCUAGUUAUUCACCAGUAGCAUAAUACCCCUAAUUGGUAUAAUACCACUAUUACCUGAAUAAUAAACUUUGGUUGGGGUGACCUCGGAGAAUAAAAAAACCUCCGAGAGAUAAAAUUGAGACUUACUAGUCAAAACAUAUUUAUCUUAUUGAUCCAAAUAAAUUUGAUCAACGGAACAAGUUACCCUAGGGAUAACAGCGCAAUCCUACUUGAGAGUUCAUAUCGAAAGUAGGGUUUACGACCUCGAUGUUGGAUCAGGACAUCCUGGUGGUGCAACAGCUACCAAAGGUUCGUUUGUUCAACGAUUAAAGUCCUACGUGAUCUGAGUUCAGACCGGAGUAAUCCAGGUCGGUUUCUAUCUAUUAUCUGUUUCUCCCAGUACGAAAGGACCAGAGAAACAAGGCUACCUAGUCACUAGUGCCUUCCACAAAAAGAUGAAACUAUCUUAAUCUUUAUUUACAUAUUUUAGCCCUAGAAAAGGGCUUUUUUUC